GCUCCGGCGCCAUCUUGAGCCGCCGCCUCCAUGUUGGGGCUGUGGGGCUGAGGCGGCUCCGGGGCGGGGAAAGGGGCUGGGCCGGCGCUUGGAGCCGCCUCCGAGGUUACACAGAGACCCUGUGAGGGGGCAGCGGCUCUGGGGUUGCCUCAGGCUACAAAUGCAACCAUUACCGCAAGCGAAUCCAUUCACCGCAGCGAAUCCAGAGCGUGCUGAGGCUCCAGACUGGGACUGAGUCAUCUGUACUGGGAGCGCACUGGUCCAUACUGGUUCCCCACCAUGGCUCUGCCGCCCGCCCUGGCCACAGCCUGGUCGCUGCUGCUGCUCCUGGAUGCGGUGCUGGUGACCGGGUGGCUGUGCCACAGCUCUUGGCCUUGGUGUGGGUCCAGUGGUGCCUGUUGGGUGCUGCCUGCGUGGCCCUGGCGUUGGCCGUGUUGGCACUCGGUGAAGCAGCAGCACAAAGAAGAGGGGCAGCAGCAAGAAGAAGCCUCCGGUUGCAGCUCAUCCAGCCCAUGCAGGAGUUAAGUAGGAAGCUCUGCAGGGAGGAGAGGAAGAGACACCCAGGGCUACCUCCCUGUGCCCACAGAGCCCUGGGGGGGGGCUCGGUAUCCCCCUGCAUCCCAUGGAGGCUCCAUGCAGGAGCUGGGGCCACCCCAUCCGUACCCCCUGGUGCCAGCUCGUACCUGGUGCUGAGCUGGCAGAGCCCAUGGCCAUGCCUGCAAGAGAAAGAGCCGUGAGCAGCCAAGACCCCUCCUUUUCCAUCUGUUCCUCCUAUGGGGGCUGAGGAUUGGGAAGCCGGAGGCACGGGACCAGCACGGUGCUGGAUGUGCCCCCGGUGCUCACCUGGGGUCGCGCUGUUGCCAUCCCUGUUCUUCCCUGCAGAGAGGCAGAGCCAUCAGCAGCCCUAUGGGGCUGGUCAGGGCUCCCAUUCAGCAGCUCCUGCCCUGCCUCCCUCCCUGCAUGCGGGGCCUUACCCGCUCUGAGCUUCCAGAGGAGCACCCCGAUGAUGGUGAUGGCCACGAGCACCACGGCAGCCACCGCCAGCAGGAUGCUGAGCAGGUCAGAGUGCGGCUCUGCAGGAAGAGCAGGAGGAUGAGGAGCUGGCAAGGGGGAACCCCCCCCACCGUGCGCGGCCCCCCCAGGGCUCACCCAGAGCAUAGAGGCCGGGUUGGAGGAGGCUGGCGUGUUCCACCCGGCACCGGAACCUGUCCUUGUCGCCGGGGUGGGCCUCGAUGGAGGCCCACGUGUAGUAGGUGCCGUCGCUGUUGGGGGCGAGGCCGCCCCAUUGGGUGUCCUGGUCCCGCACCUCGCCGUCCUUGAGCCAGCUGAGCACGAUGGGCCGCGGGUAGAAGCCGUGAGCGCGGCAGGUCAAGGUCAGGAUCCCGUCCUCCUGCUCCUUCCCUGACACUCGCACCGUGGGGGACACUGGGAAUGGGAUGGAUGGGGAGGGAUCAGAGCAGGCGCCCACAGCCCCCAAAGGGAGCGUGUCCUGGGCUGCAUCCAAAGGAGCGUGAGCAGCAGGGUGAGGGCUGAUCCUGCCCCUCUGCUCUGGGCAGAGCUCACUGGGAGCUGUGCGUGCGGUGCUGGGUCCUCAGCAUGAACAGGGCAUGGGAUGGUUGGGACAAGCCCAGAGGAGACAAGAGGAUGAGCAGGGACUGGAGCAGCUCCUGUAUGGAGAUAGGCUGGGAACGUUGGGGCUGUUCAGCCUGGAGAAGAGAAGCUGCGUGGAGACCUCAUAGUGUGUGAAGGGGGUUUGGGAUGGUGGGGAUGGACUCUUCAUUAGGGCCUGCAGUGAUGGGACAAGGGGUAACGGGUGCAAACUGAAGCAUUGGAAGGUUAGGUUGGGUCUGAGGAGGAAGUUCUUGACUGAGGCACUGGAAUGGGUUGCCCAGGGAGGUGUUCGAGGCCAGGUUGGACGAUGCCUUUGGUGCCUUGGUUUAAUGUGAGGGGUUGGAACUGGAGGCUCUCAAGGUCCUUUCCAACCCAACCCAUUCUGUGGCCCCCAUGUCCCCAUCUCACCCUCACCUCUCCUCUCCAGCUCCAGCUGCCCAUAGCGCACGUAUUUCUUCAGCCUCUCCCCACAGAUGUUCUCCAGGUAGUUCUUCAAGGUCUCAGCUAUGCUCUCAUCCUGUUCCCACUUCCUCUUGGUGGCCUCUGCCUCUGGAACCGCCGGGAUGAACGUCAUGUUGUCCAUGUCGAAGGUGAUGAAGUCCUUCCCAUCAUAGCCGACCUGAGUGUACCCCUUGGUGCUCCCAUCGUCCAGGAGGUCACAGCCAGACAUGUACUGCAGUGUAUGAGCCCCUGCACCAACACUGGCCGCAGAGCAGCAGGAGCCCCACGGCAGAGCCUGGCCCCAUCGCGCUCCUCCGCUGAGCACUGAGCCCAGAGCCCAGAGCUUGGGCACCAGCAGCAGCCUCCUGCUCCGCUAUUGGCUCUGCCCCGAGCCACCCACCAAUGAGAAACCAGGACUGCUCGUGACGUCACCGGUUGCUGGCAGAUCCCACUUGUCGAGCUUGCGAAACGGAAACGAACUUUCCUGGGAAACCCCAAUUCUGGGUGUGAUAAGAUCCCUGUCCCGAGCACCGAGGCCCCCAUCAGCCCGGCCACGAUCGUGCAGCGCCGUUGGUCGGGACGCAGCAGCGACAGGAGGCGUCUGGAGCCAUCGGGGGUGCCCCGGGAGGGCAGCGAGGAGCUGGAGCCAUGGUGCUGGGUGCAGAUGGGGGUCACCAAGACGCUGCUGCUCAUCACCCACUGCCCCCGGCUCCUGGCCAGGGUCAACCGCACCGUGAGGCUGGGCCCGGCCGUGGGGCAGUGAGGACAUGGAGCUGGGGCCCUGCUAUGGGAUGGGGACACCGGGAGCAUCCGGAUGCCCCCAGCAAUGGGGAAUGGUGAGGACACGGAUGUGGUUCCCUGCUAUGGGAUGGGGACACCGGGAGCAUCCGGAUGCCCCCAGCAAUGGGGGGCAGUGAUUGGCAAUAAAGCCGUGAAUACCUGG